UGCAGGAUACAUGAACAUUGACAUUUCGAACGCACAUUGCGGUCCUCGGAUACUGUUCCCGGACCACCUCUGGCUGAGGGUCGUAUAACAUUACCAGACUGCCGCUUGCUUUAACCGGCUUGCCGGCGAAUGAUGGAGUUUCGCGUAUACGCGUGCUCUUAAAUAAUUCACUCAACGUGUGAGCCAGCCCAGUUUGCAACAUCGGACAUUACCGUUCGUUGACGUUCUGUGGGAUUACGGCGGGUUGUGUGUCCUAGAGAUUUUAUAUUCUUGCGACCCUCCCGAUCACCGGAAACCCGAACUCUUCGUAAUGCGGUAUCGUUCCGGCAAAUUUGGACGAUUCAAAGGUUCCUCGUCGAUAUUG
rnacentral:rRNA from 1 species